CGGCGGCCACCGCUAUAGGAAUUCGAUUAAGACAUGCGAGUCGAGAGUCGUAAUGGACUCGGCGGACUGCUCAGUAACACGUGGAUAACGUGCCCUUAAGUGGAGGAUAAUCUCGGGAAACUGAGAAUAAUACUCCAUAGAUUAUGGAAUCUGGAAUGAUCCAUAGUCGAAAGUUCCGGCGCUUAAGGAUCGGUCUGCGGCCUAUCAGGUAGUAGUGGGUGUAACGUACCUACUAGCCUAUGACGGGUAUGGGCCUUGAGAGAGGGAGCCCAGAGUUGGAUUCUGAGACACGAAUCCAGGCCCUACGGGGCGCAGCAGUCGCGAAAACUUCACAAUGGGGGCAACCCCGAUGAGGGAAUUCCUAGUGCUAUCACAAUUGUGUUAGCUUUUCUCUAGCGUAGAUAACUAGAGGAAU
rnacentral:rRNA from 1 species